AGAGUUUGAUCAUGGCUCAGAUUGAACGCUGGCGGCAGGCUUAACACAUGCAAGUCGAGCGGGGGAUAUUGCUUCGGUAAUUGACCUAGCGGCGGACGGGUGAGUAAUACUUAGGAAUCUGCCUAUUAAUGGGGGACAACAUCUCGAAAGGGAUGCUAAUACCGCAUACGCCCUACGGGGGAAAGCAGGGGAUCACUUGUGACCUUGCGUUAAUAGAUGAGCCUAAGUCGGAUUAGCUAGUUGGUGGGGUAAAGGCCUACCAAGGCGACGAUCUGUAGCGGGUCUGAGAGGAUGAUCCGCCACACUGGGACUGAGACACGGCCCAGACUCCUACGGGAGGCAGCAGUGGGGAAUAUUGGACAAUGGGGGGAACCCUGAUCCAGCCAUGCCGCGUGUGUGAAGAAGGCCUUAUGGUUGUAAAGCACUUUAAGCGAGGAGGAGGCUCCUGUAGUUAAUACCUACAGUGAGUGGACGUUACUCGCAGAAUAAGCACCGGCUAACUCUGUGCCAGCAGCCGCGGUAAUACAGAGGGUGCGAGCGUUAAUCGGAUUUACUGGGCGUAAAGCGUGCGUAGGCGGCUUUUUAAGUCGGAUGUGAAAUCCCCGAGCUUAACUUGGGAAUUGCAUUCGAUACUGGGAAGCUAGAGUAUGGGAGAGGAUGGUAGAAUUCCAGGUGUAGCGGUGAAAUGCGUAGAGAUCUGGAGGAAUACCGAUGGCGAAGGCAGCC
rnacentral:rRNA from 1 species